UUCCGGUUGAUCCUGCCGGACCUGACUGCUAUCGGAUUAAUACUAAGCCAUGCGAGUUUUUGUAGUAAUACAAGGCAUACGGCUCAGUAACACGUAGUCAACCUACCCUAUGGACGAGGAUAAUCUCGGGAAACUGAGCAUAAUACUCGAUAGAUCAUAAUGCCUGGAAUGGUUUAUGGUUGAAAUGAUUCGUUCGCCAUAGGAUGGGACUGCGGCCUAUCAGCUUGUUGGUGAGGUAAUGGCCCACCAAGGCGAUUACAGGUACGGGCUCUGAGAGGAGAAGCCCGGAGAUGGGUACUGAGACACGGACCCAGGCCCUAUGGGGCGCAGCAGGCGAGAAAACUUUGCAAUGUGCGAAAGCACGACAAGGUUAGUCCGAGUGAUUUCUGCUAAAGAGAUCUUUUGCAAGUUCUAAAACCACUAGUGAAUAAGGGGUGGGCAAGUUCUGGUGUCAGCCGCCGCGGUAAAACCAGCACCUCGAGUGGUCAGGAGGAUUAUUGGGCCUAAAGCAUCCGUAGCCGGCUCUGUAAGUUUUCGGUUAAAUCCAUGCGCUCAACGCAUGGGCUGCCGAAAAUACUGCAGAGCUAGGGAGUGGGAGAGGUAGACGGUACUCGGUAGGAAGGGGUAAAAUCCUUUGAUCUAUCGAUGACCACCUGUGGCGAAGGCGGUCUACCAGAACACGUUCGACGGUGAGGGAUGAAAGCUGGGGGAGCAAACCGGAUUAGAUACCCGGGUAGUCCCAGCUGUAAACGAUGCAGACUCGAUGAUGCAUUGGCAUAUAGCCAGUGCAGUGUCGCAGGGAAGCCGUUAAGUCUGCCGCCUGGGAAGUACGUACGCAAGUAUGAAACUUAAAGGAAUUGGCGGGGGAGCACCACAAGGGGUGAAGCCUGCGGUUCAAUUGGAGUCAACGCCGG
rnacentral:rRNA from 1 species